rnacentral:lncRNA from 1 species
CCCUUCCUUCUCUUACCGAUGUGCACGAUCGCCAGUGAUCGGAGUCGCCGGAUUUUGCCUAGAAAGACAGCCCCUGUUCCAUCCCUUUUUUCUUGAUUUUUCGGCAUCGGUGGUCACCGGCAACCACCGGCUUUGGGUUCCUCUGGGCCGCUCCAUCGACACCUCCUGCCGCCGGCCACCGUCGUGCCGGCUGCGGCCUUGGACAGCCGAUCAAAGGGAGGGGACCAUUCGGU